GAUGAACGCUGGCGGCGUGCCUAAUACAUGCAAGUCGAGCGAAUGGAUUAAGAGCUUGCUCUUGUGAAGUUAGCGGCGGACAGGUGAGUAACACGUGGGUAACCUGCCCAUAAGACUGGGAUAACUCCGGGAAACCGGGGCUAAUACCGGAUAACAUUUUGAACCGCAUGGUUCGAAAUUGAAAGGCGGCUUCGGCUGUCACUUAUGGAUGGACCCGCGUCGCAUUAGCUAGUUGGUGAGGUAACGGCUCACCAAGGCAACGAUGCGUAGCCGACCUGAGAGGGUGAUCGGCCACACUGGGACUGAGACACGGCCCAGACUCCUACGGGAGGCAGCAGUAGGGAAUCUUCCGCAAUGGACGAAAGUCUGACGGAGCAACGCCGCGUGAGUGAUGAAGGCUUUCGGGUCGUAAAACUCUGUUGUUAGGGAAGAACAAGUGCUAGUUGAAUAAGCUGGCACCUUGACGGUACCUAACCAGAAAGCCACGGCUAACUACGUGCCAGCAGCCGCGGUAA
rnacentral:rRNA from 1 species